UAAUGGGGACGGACUGUAAAUUCGUUGACGAUAUGUCUACGCUGGUUCAAAUCCAGCUCGGCCCA
rnacentral:tRNA from 1 species